GAGAUAGCUCAAGCGGUAGAGCAUGAGCCUCUUAAUCUCAGGGUUGUGGGUUUGAGCCCCAUGUUGGGCA